CGCGGCCAUCGUGAUAUUACCUACGACGAUAACAUAAAUACAGUGCAUACAAUAUAUAAUUUCAUAUGUGGGACUCUUUUGAAUGUUGAAAAAUGCCUCAUAACCAGGAUAGAGAAUUAAGAGAACAUACAUUAUUGAAAAUAUACACGAACAUGAUAAUCUUUCGGUUAUUUUAACUUCCAUACUAGAUCGUAAAAUAAUCAUAAUAUAAUAAAUGAAAAAUAUUUUUAUCAGGCAAUUGAUACCAGUUUGUCAUGUAAACUGUUACCGAUUUUUUACACUGUCAAGAAUUCGAUGAUCUUCAAUGAUUACGACAAUGAUUACUUUUAGAACUGGUUUUUUUAUUCUUACAAUCUCCUUAAUUGAUGAAAUUCAAUAAUCCAUGUUAUCAUAUUUAACAUUCGCAUGGAUGGCAAAGACUGAAAGCAAGGCUGAAAGCGUGGUAUUCGAGUUCAUGAUGAAUCCUAAUAGAAAUUGAGUACCAAGGAUGACAUUAUUAUUUGAUAUUAAAUGAAAUUUUAUAGAUAGAGCAAGAUAAAGUAUACACGGCCAUGAUCAUGUUGCCUAAUCUCUUGGUCUAUUUAAAAGUCCUUAAUAUAAUGCGAUCCACGAAUUCGUUAACCCAUGUCAUCAUUAUGUUCAACUGACCAAGAACAUGGCAUGUAAAGAUGGUUGCAAGAGUGAAAGAGGCGCUGGCACUUGAACUCACGACAAAUGCUGAUAGAAAC